rnacentral:tRNA from 1 species
GGGUUUGUAGCUCAGUGGUAGAGCGCUUGCCUAGCAUGUGUGAGGCACUGGGUUCAAUCCUCAGCACCA